GCAGCUUCGCAGUCACUUCCCGCUAGGUCUGUGGGCUGAGGGGCGUGGCCUGAGGGGCGAGAGCCCCCAAGGCUGUGGGUACAAGGCCGGGCCCCUGCACCGGAAGGGAGGCCGGAAGCCACGGACGUGGAGCGGAGGGUGAGGAUAGUGGGGAGCUGGCCGCAGAGGAUGACCCGAGGAAAAAGUGCGAGUGAGGAAAAGUCGCCCUGCUGGGCAGAGGAAAUUACUCCAGGAUUUGAAUCAUCACAAGAGAUUAACCAGAGGAUUUUAUACACUUGGGCUGUGGCAGCAGACUAAUUACACCACAGCACUAGUUCUAGAGGCUAGAAGUCCAAGAUCAAGAUGUUAGCAUGGUUGGUUUCUCCUAAGGACCAUGAAGGAAGGAUCUGUUCCAGGCCUCUGUCUUUGACUUGUAGAUAAAUGUCUUCUUCCUGUGUCUUCA